UAGUAUCACUGGGCCAGCCUGCUUCUGAGGGAUAUUUGUAGCCUGGAAACAGUGAAUUUGAUCUGGUGGCAGUGUGGACUGGAGAUCAAGUCUACCAUGUAGGUCUGAAGCCUGAGGCUGUGGAGUCCAGCUUACUGCCAGUGUGUGUGGUAUCUAGAUGAGAUGCAUGGUGAUGACUGGAGACUGGGCGUGAUGAAUGACUUAGGAAACCUCUGGAGGGUGCCUGCUUUGUGGCCAUAAACCACUGUGCCCAUGUGGAAAACACUGCAGUCCUGGGGCAGAAGAUAAACUUCAUGCUUGAUAAAAAAAAAAAAAACAACCAAAAGAGGUGAAUCACUUCAAAGAGAAGGACCAGAUUCUCAUGGACCCCACUGCCAUGCUGGCCAGACAUCUUGCUGCCAUUGUUUUCCUGUUAUUUACUCCCAAACAGAUGGUCUAUAAUGAAGAAUUGACUUUUCUUUGUUCUCAAGCAAAGGACCUUUGGUCAAUCCACUCCUGGAAAUUACCUUCAGCUCUCUUUGAAAAUGGCUUCACUGUCUUCAUUUAUAAGAUUUUGUUGAUGUGUCUUGGAGGGAAGAAUGACCUAUUUCUCAGACAAG
rnacentral:lncRNA from 1 species